rnacentral:rRNA from 1 species
GUUAACGCUGGCGGCGUGCCUAACACAUGCAAGUCGAACGGUUCUAAGCGCGAGCUUAGGAUAGUGGCGAACGGGUGAGUAAAAGGUAGGAAUCUACCCCUUGGACGGAGAUAGCUACUGGAAACGGUAGGUAAACUUCGAUAAGCCCGAGAGGGGAAAGUGGUGAGACAGCCGAGGGAUGAGCCUACUCUCCAUCAGGUGGUUGGUGAGAUAAAAGCUUACCAAGCCGAUGACGGAUAACCGGUGUGAGAGCAUGAACGGUCACAAGGGCACUGAGAGACGGGCCCUACUCCUACGGGAGGCAGCAGUGGGGAAUCUUGGACAAUGGGCGAAAGCCUGAUCCAGCGACGCCGCGUGGAGGAAGAAGUCCUUCGGGAUGUAAACUUCUGAACUAGCCGAAUAAAAGGCCUGUGGACACACAGGAGAAGAAAGUAGGCUAGGAAAAGUCCCGGCUAACUACGUG